AGAGCUCUGGCAAAUAUAUGCGAAUGUGAUUGAGCAAGGAAAUAUAUUUUGGGCUUCUAGCCUGCAGUUUUGAGGCAAAAGAUCUUGGAGUAGUAGUAUCACUGAGAUUGGCGCCAGUUACAUGGUUUCCAUGGUAGUAUUUCCGAAUCCCAUAAUGACCCUCAACUGCUUCAAGCACUGGAAUAUUUUCUCUGGUUAACCAGUCAAACUGAUGAAUACCUCUAACUUCCACAAUCGCUGGAGAGACAGGAUUAAGAGCAAACCAGGAGUGCA
rnacentral:misc_RNA from 1 species